CUAGCGUAGCACAUUUGCUACGCAGAACGAACGGACGGGCUUGUACUGAACUGUAUCACACCAGUAGGUAACUGCCGCCUGUUGGAAUUCCACUGCCUAUGGAAUGCAAUUUCGCCGAUCAACAUUGAGAGUACAGAGACCAAGCCACCGGUGCUUAUUCGGCACUUGCUCCUUGUGCCAU
rnacentral:lncRNA from 1 species